rnacentral:rRNA from 1 species
GGGACGACAUGUCUAGUAUAAGCAUUAUACCGUGAAACUGCGAAUGGCUCAUUAAAUCAGUUAUCGUUUAUUUGAUAAUACCUUACUACUUGGAUAACCGUGGUAAUUCUAGAGCUAAUACAUGCUGAAAAUCCCGACUUCGGAAGGGAUGUGUUUAUUAGAUAAAAAACCAAUGCCCUUCGGGGCUUUUUGGUGAUUCAUGAUAACUUUACGGAUCGCAUAGCCUUGCGCUGGCGACGGUUCAUUCAAAUUUCUGCCCUAUCAACUUUCGAUGGUAAGGUAUUGGCUUACCAUGGUUUCAACGGGUAACGGGGAAUUAGGGUUCGAUUCCGGAGAGGGAGCCUGAGAAACGGCUACCACAUCCAAGGAAGGCAGCAGGCGCGCAAAUUACCCAAUCCCGACACGGGGAGGUAGUGACAAUAAAUACUGAUACAGGGCUCUUUUGGGUCUUGUAAUUGGAAUGAGUACAAUUUAAACCUCUUAACGAGGAACAAUUGGAGGGCAAGUCUGGUGCCAGCAGCCGCGGUAAUUCCAGCUCCAAUAGCGUAUAUUAAAGUUGUUGCAGUUAAAAAGCUCGUAGUUGAAACUUGGGCCUGGCUGGCGGGUCCGCCUCACCGCGUGCACUCGUCCGGCCGGGCCUUCCUUCUGAAGAACCUCAUGCCCUUCACUGGGCGUGCUGGGGAAUCAGGACUUUUACUUUGAAAAAAUUAGAGUGUUCAAAGCAGGCCUUUGCUCGAAUACGUUAGCAUGGAAUAAUAAAAUAGGGCGUGCGUUUCUAUUUUGUUGGUUUCUAGAGACGCCGCAAUGAUUAACAGGAACAGUCGGGGGCAUCAGUAUUCAGUUGUCAGAGGUGAAAUUCUUGGAUUUACUGAAGACUAACUACUGCGAAAGCAUUUGCCAAGGAUGUUUUCAUUAAUCAGUGAACGAAAGUUAGGGGAUCGAAGACGAUCAGAUACCGUCGUAGUCUUAACCGUAAACUAUGCCGACUAGGGAUCGGGCGAUGUUCUUUUUCUGACUCGCUCGGCACCUUACGAGAAAUCAAAGUUUUUGGGUCUGGGGGAUAGCCCGUCC